UGGGGAAUAUUGUGCAAUGGGCGAAAGCCUGACACAGCGAUGCCGCGUGAAGGAUGAAGGUCUUAGGAUUGUAAACUUCUGUUAAACGGGAAGAAAGAGUACAUGUGAAUAGCAUGUAAAGAUGACGGUACCGUUAGAGAAAGCCCCGGCUAACUUCGUGCCAGCAGCCGCGGUAAGACGAGGGGGGCAAGCGUUAUUCGGAAUUACUGGGCGUAAAGGGCGUGUAGGUGGCCUAUUAAGUCGGAUGUUAAAUCCCACAGCCUAACUGUGGGGCGGCAUUGGAUACUGAUAGGCUAGAGGACAAGAGAGAGAAGUGGAAUUCUCGGAGUAGCGGUUAAAUGCGUGGAUCUCGAGAGGAACACCGAUGGCGAAAGCAGCUUCUUGGCUUGUAACUGACACU
rnacentral:rRNA from 1 species